rnacentral:misc_RNA from 1 species
GAUGAAAGAACGUAGCGAAAUGCGAUAACUAGUGUGAAUUGCAGAUUUACGUGAAUCAUCGAGUCUUUGAACGCACAUUGCGCUCCUUGGUUUUCCAGGGAGCAUGUCUAUCCGAGCGUCGUUGCAACUCUCAAGCCCAGCUUGGUCCUGGAGGGCGCCCCGUUCCGCGGGGCCCCUCCCAAACGCAACUCACGUCGUGCCAAUUCGGUCGGAGCGCAGCAGAUUUGCAGCCCCGUCCGGCGUCGUCGCGAGCCGCCCCCGUGCGGACUUCACAAGGUUGACCUCGGAUUAGAUAAGGAUACCCGCUGAACUUAAGCAUAUCAAUAAGCGGAGGA